rnacentral:rRNA from 1 species
UACCGCUGGUGCAUCAGUUGUUCCGCCAGGAGCAUGGCUGAGUAGCUACGUACGGACGGGAUAAGCGCUGAAAGCAUCUAAGCGUGAAGCCCCCCUCAAGAUGAGAUUUCCCAGUAUGUAAGACCCCUUGAAGACGACGAGGUAGAUAGGUUGGAGGUGGAAGCACGGCAACGUGUGGAGCUGACCAAUACUAAUCGGUCGAGGGCUUAUCCAAA